rnacentral:lncRNA from 1 species
GUACACACUAUACUUAUAUAUAACAAUAAAUAUAUCAAACACAAUUUAUAAUUGCCGAUCGCCCACAAGACUAGAAGGACACCGGAUUUUAUUAUAAUCUAUCAUAACAAACAUAAUAUUUUGCAAUAAUAUAUAUAUACAUAUAAACAAUGCUUUCAAUACAAAAUGAAAACAUUGACUCCGUCAUAAACGAACCCGCCAGCCAGGAAAAACCAACAACCAAGUUACCUUAGUCGAUAUGGAAACCUGUGUCCAAACCCUAAUGCUCGGAAGAUCGUCUCGAGAGGUGUACUUGGACAAUACUGAAAAUUAGCUUAUGUUUACAUAAACAAAAUAUCAUCAAAAUGUGUAAUAGCAAACAAAAAUACCAAUAUAUAGUACAAAAAACAAGAAAAAAUCAAACAAUAAUGAACCAACAAUAAAUCUGAACUUGACCAGUUCGAAGUUGGCGAGAGAAUGGUCUGAUAGGGAAAUUAACCCGC